AAAAAACAUAACCCAUAAAUGCUGGCUGUACCAGGAACCACCUCCUUAGCCUGCGUAAUCUCCCUUACGCAGGCUUAUUU
rnacentral:sRNA from 1 species